rnacentral:piRNA from 1 species
UAUAGUCAAGUUGACUACCGAGAAUAGCCGC